rnacentral:rRNA from 1 species
UACGUAGGGUGCGAGCGUUGUCCGGAAUUAUUGGGCGUAAAGAGCUCGUAGGCGGCCUGUCGCGUCGGAUGUGAAAGCCCGGGGCUUAACCCCGGGUCUGCAUUCGAUACGGGCAGGCUAGAGUGUGGUAGGGGAGAUCGGAAUUCCUGGUGUAGCGGUGAAAUGCGCAGAUAUCAGGAGGAACACCGGUGGCGAAGGCGGGUCUCUGGGCCGAUAUUGACGCUGAGGAGCGAAAGCGUGGGGAGCGAACAGG